GCUCCCAUCUUCUAAUCGGUUAGGAAACGCGGUUCUCAUCCGUGAAACAGGGGUUCGAAUCCCCUUGGGAGUA
rnacentral:tRNA from 1 species